CUGAGAGCGAGCCCGCCCGGGCAGCUCCGCAGCCGCAGCCGCAGCUGGGCGGUCACGCGCCCCCGUAGGCCCCUCACGGCCGCCGGCCACCGCGACCUCAUGCGCAGGCGACGGACGCGAAGCCCCCUGCUGGCCGAGCCGAGCGCCGCGCCACGCUGGGCCAUGCCCGCGGCCCCCAUCCCGAGGCAGAGCCCGCCCCCUGCCCCGUCCACACAGGGCCCAUUGCCGGGCCGCGGCUCUGACUCUUCCAGUUCGGGGCUUUUUCCAGACUCGCUCCUGCGGGAGUCUGGACCCGAACCUGCCCGCCCCGCAUCCUCCGCUCCCACCAGAGAGAAUUUGUAGGGUCCCCAGCAGGCCUCAGCGCAGUGGGAAGAUACGCCUGCCCAAUAUGGCCGCCCCCGAAGCAAAACUGUGACGUGGACGCCGCCAUCUUGUCCCUGGGCCUGAGCGGGCGGAGGACGCCAUGUUUGUUACUGGCGGCGGCCGGGCUGGAGGGCUCUGUCUGGCUAAGUUCAAGUUGCCUCGUGAAUGUUGGGACCUUGAUUCCACUGUUUAGUGCCUUUGUGACCUUGGGCAAGUUUCUUCAGCUCUCUGCCUCUCUAUUGAGAGAUUUGAAUGAGUUAAUACAAGUGCAUGGCAUCGAGUAAUUGCUCAACAAAUGUUGGCUAGUAAGUUGUUAUAUUUACUCUCAUUUUUAGUUCCUUCCUCACAGAUGGCAGUUGUAACAUCAUCCACUUUUUACUAGAUUGAAAUGUCAACUUUUAUAUGAAUGAAUUUAUGAGAAUUUGAUCGCAUUGCUUCCUAUGGGGAUGGCUGAAUGAAUUAUGAGCUGUGUCUGGGUCACAGGCCACACGGCAGCUUCGCUUAAGCCAAUAAACAGAAAGAUCUGCCUUCCUUGCAUUCCUUCCCUCAAACUCCUUUAUUCAGAAAGUGUUGAUGGUGCACCCAAGUGUACCAAGAAGCAGUGAUCCGGGUAAAGAUGUUCAUGUUACGGUGCGGAUGACAGGCAUUGUGCUGUUAAAGAACAACAUGAAGAACAUUGUAGGGAAAAGAGCAGUUAGAGCUAAAGCAGGCAAGCCUUGAUGGAGCCAUGGGGCAGAAUGUUCACAAAGUUCCCAGUGCGAUUUCCUCCCCUACCCGUGUUUUUCUAGCAUAGAAUCAUAGCAGGUGGAUUGAGGUCACAUAGUGGCCCUUGACCUUCAGCGACCCCAGGUCCCAGGAGCAGUGACCUGGGAGCCUCUGGGGACUGGGAAAGAGGGUUCCUGGGCCAGGUCAUUGUUUCUUCCUCAGGGUACAGGGACACAUUUCAGCAGUAAAAUUUUGUAUCACAUUUUAUCCCCCAGGUACUGUCAGCCUCAUUUGUGGGAGCCUGGGGUCAUGUCUCUGCCCUUAUGAGGCAUGGGCAGGGCAAGCAGCCCAUCUGGGGCAGGGCCAGGGCUUCAUUUUCACUGGAAGAGGCUGUGCUCGCCUUAACAGGGGCUCAGAGUGUCCAGGAGUGCUGGUUCCAUGUGAAGUUAUGUGGGUCACCUAUGUCAUGGACAGUGUCUAAGCAGGCUACUUCGGGAUUAAACAAAGUGCAUCAGACCCAAAUGGCGAAUGACCAUCAAGGGUGUGCCCUGUGCUUAGCACCUCACAAGCUCUAACAAGUAUUGUCAUCUUCCUGUCCUCCUAGCCUGCAGGUCCAUGUCUUCUGGCCUCUCCCAUCUGCCUGACUCCAGAGCUGGUUUGAUGGUACUUUUCCUGGAUUGCGGCCUGCAGCCUGCAUUCCUCUGUUCUGUGGUUGUCCCUACAGAGCACCUGGGUCAGGCACAGCCCCCGUGCAGUCCCCCACCAGCCUCUUCCCAUUAGAGUCCCAGGGACUCGGUCUGGAUGCCAGUAGCUUCCCUUGUCUCAGGGUCCGCAGGAGAGGAUCAGAUAGGGUAAGGACCAGGGACUCUGCCCAGGAAGAAGUCCUUGCCCUGAGGCAAGGACAGCAAGGCCAGAGUGUCCGCCAUUCCUCCAGACUACAGAGGAUGACCCAGGUCCAGGUGAGCCAGGCUUGUGUUUACACAUCCACACUUACCACUCUUUGCUUGCCAAUGGAUUUCAGGAAGUUUUUGCAUUCCAUACAAUUGAAAGGAAAAAACAGGAGGCCUCAUGAUCUGGGAGUAAGUGGUACAGAAAAAGAGCAUUUGGAGAACAUCCACUCAAAGGAAAUCUCCUGGAAAUUAUAGGGGGAAAUCUCCUGGGAAAUUGUAGGGGGAAAUAUCUUAUGAGACUUGAUUUUGAAAAAUCAGCUGAAGAUAAUGAAGCAAAGUUUAUCUUUUUACAUAAAAUCGGAUUGCAUUUGCAGCUUCACACUAAUUCUUAGAAAGGACAGAGAAUGAUGAGGCUUGAUUGCUCUUCAGCUUUGUUACGGAAAGUUUCAAACACAAACAAAAGUAGAACAGUAGCAGGAACCUCCAUGUAUCAUUGUCCAGCUUCAGCCAUCAUCAGUUUGUG
rnacentral:lncRNA from 1 species